UGAGUAACGCGUAACAUGACCUGCCUGUCAGAAGGGGAUAGCCCUGGGAACUGGGAUUAAUACCUAUGGUAUUGAUAUUAUGAAUGAUAUCAAUUAAAGUUGAGGCGCUGACAGAUGGAUGUGCGUCUGAUUAGCUAGUUGGUAGGGUAACGGCCUACCAAGGCGACGAUCAGUAGGGGCGUGAGAGCGUGGUCCCCCACACGGGUACUGAGACACGGACCCGACUCCUACGGGAGGCAGCAGUAAGGAAUAUUGGUCAAUGCCCGCAAGGGUGAACCAGCCAUUCCGCGUGGAGGAUGAAGGCCCUAUGGGUUGUAAACUUCUUUUAGAUGGGAAGAAAAUGCUAGAUGUAUCUGGUACUGACGGUACCAUCAGAAUAAGCACCGGCUAACUCCGUG
rnacentral:rRNA from 1 species